CGGGGAGCACCACAACAGGUGGAGCCUGCGGUUUAAUCGGACUCAAACGCCGGGAAACUCACCAGAUAAGACAGCUGAAUGAUAGUCGGGCUGAAGACUCUACUUGACUAGCUGAGAGGAGGUGCAUGGCCGUCGUCAGUUCGUACUGUGAAGCAUCCUGUUAAGUCAGGCAACGAGCGAGACCCACGCCAACAGUUGCCAGCUCGUCCUCCGGGAUGGUGGGGACACUGUUGGGACCGCCUCUGCUAAAGAGGAGGAAGGAAUGGGCAACGGUAGGUCAGCAUGCCCCGAAUUAUCUGGGCUACACGCGGGCUACAAUGGGUGGGACAAUGGGUAUCGACACCGAAAGGUGAAGGCAAUCUCCUAAACCCAUCCGUAGUUCGGAUUGUGGGCUGCAACUCGCCCACAUGAAGCUGGAAUCUGUAGUAAUCGCGUCUCAAAAUGGCACGGUGAAUAUGUCCCUGCUCCUU
rnacentral:rRNA from 1 species